GAAGCUCUGCUCACCAGUGCUGGGAUUGACCAGGCGAGCAUAAGCUGCAGAACUGACCCCUCUCUCCUGAGGGCCUCAACCAGGAAACACACAUAGGCUCACUUUGGCUCUCUCAGCCUUCAGAGGAGACAGUCGUAAGGCAAGUUGGAUAGAGUCUACAAACUCCCAACUUUCAGACUGACGAAAAAUGUUUUGAAAAAUCUCCAGCCUGUAUAGUGUGAUGCAACUAAGAGGAAGAUCUUUAUACAGUGACAGGUAUUUUUAAAGAUUUAUCUCAAUUAUAUGCUUGUGCUCCCA